rnacentral:rRNA from 1 species
CACCUACGGGAGGCAGCAGUGGGGAAUAUUGGACAAUGGGCGCAAGCCUGAUCCAGCAAUGCCGCGUGAGUGAUGAAGGCCUUAGGGUUGUAAAGCUCUUUCGCACGCGACGAUGAUGACGGUAGCGUGAGAAGAAGCCCCGGCUAACUUCGUGCCAGCAGCCGCGGUAAUACGAAGGGGGCUAGCGUUGUUCGGAAUGACUGGGCGUAAAGGGCGCGUAGGCGGUUGAUCAAGUUGGGGGUGAAAGCCCGGGGCUUAACCUCGGAAUUGCCUUCAAGACUGGUCAGCUAGAGUGUGGAAGAGGGUUGUGGAAUUCCCAGUGUAGAGGUGAAAUUCGUAGAUAUUGGGAAGAACACCAGUGGCGAAGGCGACAACCUGGUCCAUUACUGACGCUGAGGCGCGACAGCGUGGGGAGCAAACAGGAUUAGAUACCCUGGUAGUCCACGCCGUAAACGAUGAGUGCUGGAUGUUGGGCGGUUGCCGCUCAGUGUCGAAGUUAACGCGAUAA